rnacentral:lncRNA from 1 species
UGAUACCUCCUCUCCGUGUCUCCAGUAGUUCUAUGCAAGAAGGGACAUUCAUCUCCUUCUGGGCAGAUUCCCGUGGUCUCGUCAUACUUGGUACAGUAAAUGUCAGGGCUGUAGUUAAACGUCCCAUCCCGACGGCGGAUGGAUCUGCGACGACGCUGGUUGACAAAGUGCCAAUGGAAGCAAGUGUAGGGCCGGUGCUGAGUGCACUUGUGCUGCACGAAGAGAGGGCACUGCUCCGUGCGGAACUCCUUCAGGUAAGUGUAGUGCUGCGGCUUCUCGGGCUGCGCCUGCAGCGCGCUGGCGGCGUUCGCCGGCCCGGCCGCGGCAGGGCCGCUCGCCACCGGGCCCUUGGACAUGCCUCCUGCCCGCCGCCGCCGCUCCCGCCGACGAGACCUUUAUUAUUCACUCUGCGCGGUCCGCACGGAGGGCGCCGCGCGCAGGCGCCGCCGCCGCCAUUGCCGCCCCGGUGCGCGGGGUGGGGUGGGACUUGUAGUCCGGCCGCGCGCGCGCUCUCCGCCAACCCGGGA